rnacentral:rRNA from 1 species
AGUGAACGCUGGCGGCAUGCCUAACACAUGCAAGUCGAACGGCAGCACACUAAGAGUUUUCUCGUACGGGUGGCGAGUGGCGGACGGGUGGCGAAUAGAUCGGAAUCUACUUUUUCGAGGGGCAGAACGUACGGAAAGAUAUGCUAAUACCCCAUACGAUAUACCGCUGAAAUCAGGGGAUCUUCGGACCUUUCGCGAGUGAAUGAGCCGAGGUCGGAUGAGCUAGUUGGCGGGGUAAAGGCGCACCUAGGCGACGACCCGUAGCUGGUCUGAGAGGGUGAUCAGCCACACUGGAAGUGAGACACGGUCCAGACUCCUACGGGAGGCAGCAGUGGGGAAUAUUGGACAAUGGGCGCAAGCCUGAUCCAGCCAUACCGCGUGGGUGAAGAAGGCCUUCGGGUUGUAAAGCCCUUUUGUUGGGAAAGAAGAACAGCAGGUUAAUACCCCGCUGUUCUGACGGUACCGAAAGAAUAAGCACCGGCUAACUUCGUG